rnacentral:rRNA from 1 species
GAUCUACCCAUGGCCAGGGUGAAGCGUCGGUAAGACGUCGUGGAGGCCCGAACCCACCAGGGUUGAAAACCUGGGGGAUGAGCUGUGGGUAGGGGUGAAAGGCCAAUCAAACUCCGUGAUAGCUGGUUCUCCCCGAAAUGCAUUUAGGUGCAGCGUCGCAUGUUUCACCGCGGGGGUAGAGCACUGGAUGGUCUAGGGGGCCUACAAGCUUACCGAAAUCAACCAAACUCCGAAUACCGUGGUGUGAGAGUGCGGCAGUGAGACUGCGGGCGAUAAGGUUCGUAGUCGAGAGGGAAACAGCCCAGAACACCAGCUAAGGCCCCUAAGUGUGCGCUAAGUGGGAAAGGAUGUGGGGUCGCUCAGACAACCAGGAGGUUGGCUUAGAAGCAGCCACCCUUGAAAGAGUGCGUAAUAGCUCACUGGUCAAGUGGUCCUGCGCCGACAAUGUAGCGGGGCUGAAGCGCACCGCCGAAGCUGUGUCAUUCGCACAAUACACCGUCUCAUCGGCUUGACCGGUGGGGCCAGUGGUGUGGAUGGGUAGGGGAGCGUCGUGCAGCCGGAGAAGCUGUGGUGGAAACCAAUGGUGGAGGCUGCGCGAGUGAGAAUGCAGGCAUGAGUAGCGAUAGGCGAGUGAGAAUCUCGUCCGCCGAAUGACCAAGGGUUCCUGGGCCAGGCUGUUCCGCCCAGGGUAAGUCGGGACCUAAGGCGAGGCCGACAGGCGUAGUCGAUGGACAACGGGUUGAUAUUCCCGUACCCGUGUGGACGCGUCCCUGGUGAGGCCGGUGACACUAACCGCCCGAAGCCCCGACGCUCUUCGGAGUGGAGGGGUGGAGCGCGGGAUCUGAUCCGGUAGUAGUCAAGUGAUGGGGUGACGCAGGAGGGUAGCUCCGCCAGCUGUUGGUGUCUGGUGUAAGCGUGUGGCCCGAGCGAUAGGCAAAUCCGUCGCUCACAGAGGGUGAGGCGUGAUGCGUAGCCGAUUGAGGCGAAGUAGAGUGAUCCCAUGCUGCCGAGAAAAGCCUCUAGCGAGUGUCCGUGCGGCCCGUACCCCAAACCGACACAGGUGGUCAGGUAGAGAAUACCGAGGCGUUCGGGUGAACUGUGGUCAAGGAACUCGGCAAAAUGCCCCCGUAACUUCGGGAGAAGGGGGGCCACAGGGUUUGAAGCCCUUCGCGGGCUAGGACCAGGUGGCCGCAGAGACCAGCGAGAAGCGACUGUUUACUAAAAACACAGGUCCGUGCGAAGUCGCAAGACGAUGUAUACGGACUGACGCCUGCCCGGUGCUGGAACGUUAAGAGGACCGGUUAGCCCUUUGGGGCGAAGCUGAGAAUUUAAGCGCCAGUAAACGGCGGUGGUAACUAUAACCAUCCUAAGGUAGCGAAAUUCCUUGUCGGGUAAGUUCCGACCUGCACGAAUGGCGUAACGACUUCUCGACUGUCUCGACCACAGGCCCGGUGAAAUUGCAGUACGAGUAAAGAUGCUCGUUACGCGCGGCAGGACGGAAAGACCCCGGGACCUUUACUAUAGCUUGGUAUUGGUGCUUGGUUCGGUUUGUGUAGGAUAGGUGGGAGACUGUGAAGCGCUCACGCCAGUGGGUGUGGAGUCGUUGUUGAAAUACCACUCUGAUCGUACUGAGUGUCUAACUUCGGACCGUGAUCCGGUUCAGGGACAGUGCCUGGUGGGUAGUUUAACUGGGGCGGUUGCCUCCCAAAGGGUAACGGAGGCGCCCAAAGGUUCCCUCAGCCUGGUUGGCAAUCAGGUGUUGAGUGCAAGUGCACAAGGGGGCUUGACUGUGAGACUGACAGGUCGAGCAGGGACGAAAGUCGGGACUAGUGAUCCGGCACUGGCUGG